GAUGAACGCUGACAGAAUGCUUAACACAUGCAAGUCCACUUGAAUUUGGGUUUUUAACUUAGGUUUGGGUGGCGGACGGGUGAGUAACGCGUAAAGAACUUGCCUCACAGCUAGGGACAACAUUUGGAAACGAAUGCUAAUACCUAAUAUUAUGAUAAUAGGGCAUCCUAUAAUUAUGAAAGCUAUAAGCGCUGUGAGAGAGCUUUGCGUCCCAUUAGCUAGUUGGAGAGGUAACGGCUCACCAAGGCGAUGAUGGGUAGCCGGCCCGAGAGGGUGAUCGGCCACAAGGGGACUGAGACACGGCCCUUACUCCUACGGGAGGCAGCAGUGGGGAAUAUUGGACAAUGGACCGAGAGUCUGAUCCAGCAAUUCUGUGUGCACGAUGAAGUUUUUCGGAAUGUAAAGUGCUUUCAGUUGGGAAGAAACAAAUGACGGUACCAACAGAAGAAGUGACGGCUAAAUACGUG
rnacentral:rRNA from 1 species